AGAACGAACGCUGGCGGCAGGCUUAACACAUGCAAGUCGAGCGCCCCGCAAGGGGAGCGGCAGACGGGUGAGUAACGCGUGGGAACAUACCCUCCGGUUCGGAAUAGCUCAGGGAAACUUGGAUUAAUACCGGAUACGGCCUAGCGGCGAAAGAUUGAUCGCCGGAGGAUUGGCCCGCGUCUGAUUAGCUAGUUGGUGGGGUAAUGGCCCACCAAGGCGACGAUCAGUAGCUGGUCUGAGAGGAUGAUCAGCCACAUUGGGACUGAGACACGGCCCAAACUCCUACGGGAGGCAGCAGUGGGGAAUAUUGGACAAUGGGCGCAAGCCUGAUCCAGCCAUGCCGCGUGAGUGAUGACGGCCUUAGGGUUGUAAAGCUCUUUCGCUAGGGACGAUAAUGACGGUACCGGAUGAAGAGCACCGGCUAACUCUGUGCCAGCAGCCGC
rnacentral:rRNA from 1 species